GACGAACCGAGCGAACGUUGUUCGGAAUCACUGGGCUUAAGGGCGGCGUAGCGGGCUGUCAAGUUUGGGGUGAAAUCCCGCGGCUCAACCGUGGAACUGCCUCAAAUACUGACGGUCUCGAGGGAGGUAGGGGCGAGCGGAACUGAUGGUGGAGCGGUGAAAUGCGUUGAUAUCAUCAGGAACUCCGGUGGCGAAGGCGGCUCGCUGGACCUUUUCUGACGCUGAGGCGCGAAAGCUAGGGGAGCAAACGGGG
rnacentral:rRNA from 1 species